rnacentral:rRNA from 1 species
UACGUAGGUGGCAAGCGUUGUCCGGAUUUACUGGGCGUAAAGGGCGUGCAGGCGGUCUGCUAAGUCUAGGGUGAAAGCUCCCGGCUCAACUGGGAGAGGUCCUUGGAUACUGGCGGACUUGAGGGAGGUAGAGGAGAGUGGAAUUCCCGGUGUAGUGGUGAUAUGCGUAGAUAUCGGGAGGAACACCAGUGGCGAAGGCGGCUCUCUGGGCCUUUCCCUGACGCUG